rnacentral:lncRNA from 1 species
AAUACAUUUUAAAUACAUUAUGGGCAUGUGACUUAGUGGUCAAGUGCCUCUGAGUUCAAUCCCCAGUACCAAGGGGGCGGGGGGGGGAACACCAGGGCAGGUGUUUGUCCUGGGCCUUUGUGUUGUGGAAAGAGCAGGCCUGGGCCUCAGGCCACCAAGUCCAAACCUGCCCUUCCUAGCUGUGUGCCUUGAGCAAUUUGACCUUUCCAAACCACUUGAAAUGCAGCUUUUGGGUUUAGAGACCUGCAGCAGGGAGAAAUCCACACACCCAACAAAUAGCAGCACUAGAGUCAGGCCCAGGAAUUCUGGAGGGGUCUGUCUGUCCCUCUGUUCUCUGACGGUUCGACCAAGUAAGGAGAUGGUGGAUUCAAGGCAGGGACAUCACCACCCGUGCUGGAGUUCACAGAGCAGGUCAGUGACUGACCUCAGGUUUCCAUUGCUAACCAGUGACCUUGGAGCUCUCCAUUCAGCGUAGACACACCAGGGCUUGGGCCCCGGAAGUUUGGCAUUCACAAGGCCAGCGGCUCCUGGAAUCCUCCCCGCAGGGCCAAUGUUGGUCCAGAAAUUGAGCCCUACACCGCAUCCCACCUCCCCUGCAGGGAAGUGGCACUGUCCCCACGGUAUCAGUGUCCUUCAGCUGCUGUGACAACUACCGCUUUUGGUGACUCUGAACAGCAUGCAUUUGUUCUCUUAUAAAGACAGGCAGGUCAAAAGUCCAAAGUCAGGACCACUGGGUGGGUUCUCUGCAGGGAGAAGCAUCUGGCUUCUGGCUGCCCAUGGCCGCCAGCACCCCUUAGCGCCUGAGUCUAUCCUUCAUCUUCAAAGGGUUCUGUUCCACCUGCUUCCCUCAGCCCAGCCCCUCUCCUCUUCUGCAUCAAAUGUCCCUCUGACUCUCUCUUAAAAGGACACUGAUGACAAUGGCCCACCUGGAUACUCCAGGACCUUUUCCCCAACUUAGGACUUGAACUUCACCACAUCUGCAACUGCUGGCUGAGGUGCUGCUCCC